AUGUCGAUCAGGCUGUUUGUUCUGCUAACAGUGAUCUGUCUGCCCUGUUUUAACAGCCAGGGUCUAGAGUCCAUUCCUUCCAUCUCAGUAGUGAAAAAGCCUCAGGAAGAUCUUAGUCUUUCCUGCAGAGGAACUGGAUUUAACUUUGGUCGCUAUGGAAUGCACUGGAUCAGAGAGCGUCCAGGAAAACCACUGGAGCACAUAGGUCCAAUUUGGUAUGAUGCAAGUAAAACAGUUUAUGAAAACUGCGUUCAAGGACGCAUAGAAAUCACCAGAGACAACAGUAACAGUAUGGUGUAUCUGAGACUGUCCAGCCUGAAACCAGAGGACUCUGCUGUGUAUUACUGUGCACCAAACACACAGUGGUUAAUGUGA